rnacentral:rRNA from 1 species
UGGGGAAUAUUGCACAAUGGGCGAAAGCCUGAUGCAGCGACGCCGCGUGAGGGAUGACGGCCUUCGGGUUGUAAACCUCUUUCAGCAGGGAAGAAGCGAAAGUGACGGUACCUGCAGAAGAAGCACCGGCUAACUACGUGCCAGCAGCCGCGGUAAUACGUAGGGUGCGAGCGUUGUCCGGAAUUAUUGGGCGUAAAGAGCUUGUAGGCGGUUUGUCGCGUCUGCCGUGAAAUUUCGGGGCUCAACCCCGAACUUGCGGUGGGUACGGGCAGACUAGAGUGUGGUAGGGGAGACUGGAAUUCCUGGUGUAGCGGUGAAAUGCGCAGAUAUCAGGAGGAACACCGAUGGCGAAGGCAGGUCUCUGGGCCACUACUGACGCUGAGAAGCGAAAGCAUGGGGAGCGAACA